GGGAGAGGAGGAAUCGAGAGAACCUGGUCAGGAAUGCGGAGGCUGGGAGCUCGAGGAGAAGGGGAGGAGCAGGGACCUGGUGGCUGUUUCCAAGGAGAAACACAAACAUACAUCAUCUCAAGUAUCAGAAAUCUCUAUGUGAUGCUUUCCAGGGCCCAGCCCUCCAACAGAACAGGAUUGACAGGGCAGGGUGUCCACAGCUGGUUCCCAUCAACUGCAGAGAAAAGGCAGGCAGCCUGGAGAGAGGGGCCAUGUCCUCUUCUUCCCUGGAAAAGAAGCCUGAAGACAGCAUGCCCAAGGACACUGUUCUACCAGUCAGAAGGGUUAGGGAUGAUACUUGGCUCUGACAGCUGUGGGACCUUCGGUAAAACCCGAUAUCUGUAAGCCUCAGUUUCCUCAUCUGUAAAAUGGGGAUAACUGCCUACUUCCCAGAGCUAUUGAGGAAAGUACCUUAUCAACCUCGAACUGCUCUAGAAUUGACAGUUAUCUUUUCUGUCACUAACACCAUCCUUCCUAUCCCCUCAUUCUGGUAGAAUGACAACAGGGCUCUUUCUUAACUUAGAAUGAGGAAUUGUAGAGUUCAGUCAUUUUUCAGUGGUGUCCAACUCUUCGGGACCCUGUUUGGGGUUUUCUUGGCAGGGAUCCUGGAGUGGUUUGCCAUUUCCUUCUCCAGUUCAUUUUGCAGAUGAGGAGAUGGAGGCAAACAGGGUAAAGUGACUUGCCCAGGGUCACACAGCUAGUGUCUGAGGCCGGAUUUGAACUCAGGGAAAUGAGUCUUCCUGACUCCAGUCCCAGUGCUUGGUGCACUAUGGCACCGCCUAGCAGCCUCAGAAUGGGGAAACUUGGUUCAAAUCCUGCCUUGGCAAUUCAUGAGCUAUGUGACCCUCAUCAACCUCCUUUUCCUCAUAUGUGAAAGGAGGACUAGGUGAUCCCUAAGGCUCUUUCCAGCCUUUGGUAUCCUUUGGUUCCUUCGAGGCGAGAGGAAAAGUGAAUCUCUGCUGGAGACUGGGAUGGCACCAAGAAGCUGGGGAAGGGGCAGUUCCCAGCAUGGCCACCAGGGGGCGCAGUAACUCCACACUUGGCCAUGCCUUAAGGGGCCGACUGAUACCAACAACUGCUCCCUUUUCUAGAACAAUAACAAUAAUAAUAAAUAAUAGCCAACAUUUGUAUAGCGCUUGCCA
rnacentral:lncRNA from 1 species